rnacentral:misc_RNA from 1 species
CCAAUAGCGUAUAUUAAAGUUGUUGCAGUUAAAAAGCUCGUAGUUGAAUUUCGGGGUCAGUAGGUUGGUCGUGCCACCGGUACGUACUGGUCUCACUGAUUCCUCCUUCCUGAUGAGCUGUAAUGCCAUUAAUUUGGUGUUGCAGGGAAUCUGGACUGUUACUUUGAAAAAAUUAGAGUGUUUAAAGCAGGCUAACGCUUGAAUACAUUAGCAUGGAAUAAUGAAAUAGGACGUUCGAUCCUAGUUUGUUGGUUUCUAGGAUUGACGUAAUGAUUAAUAGGGAUAGUUGGGGGCAUUAGUAUUCAAUUGUCAGAGGUGAAAUUCUUGGAUUUAUUGAAGACUAACUACUGCGAAAGCAUUUGCCAAGGAUGUUUUCAUUAAUCAAGAACGAAAGUUAGGGGAUCGAAGACGAUCAGAUACCGUCGUAGUCUUAACCAUAAACUAUGCCGACUAGGGAUCGGAUGAUGUUAAUUUUUUAAUGACUCAUUCGGCGCCUUACG